UGCGGGAGUGGUGAAAUUGGUAGACACGACAGACUUAAAAUCUGUUGAUUAGUGAUAAUCGUGCGGGUUCAAGUCCCGCCUCCCGCAU
rnacentral:tRNA from 1 species